rnacentral:misc_RNA from 1 species
AACGCACAUUGCGCCCCUUGGUAUUCCGAGGGGCAUGCCUGUUCGAGCGUCAUUUCAAACCCUCAAGCUUCUGCUUGGUAUUGGGCUCUCGUCCGUCACAAGGACGUGCCCGAAACUCGUAGGCAGUGGCGCCCAGCUCCUUUGCGUAGUUAUAUAUUCCGCUCUGGAUUUGUUGGGUACUACUCGCCCUAUAACCUUCUAUUUUCUUUAUGGUUUGACCUCGGAUCAGGUAGGGAUACCCGCUGAACUUAA